UCCGAUUAAGCCAUGCGAGUCGAGAGAAUAAGAUUCUCGGCAUACCGCUCAGUAACACGUGGAUAACUGCCCUGUGCUGGGGGAUAACCUCGCGAAAGUGAGAACAAUACCCCAUGGGUCACUACGCCUGGAACGGUGAGUGGCUGAAAGCUCCGGCGGCACAGGAUGGGUCUGCGGCGUAUCAGGUAGUAGGGGGUGUAACGUACCUCCUAGCCUUCGACGCGUACGGGUUGUGAGAGCAAUUGCCCGGAGAUGGAUUCUGAGACACGAAUCCAGGCCCUACGGGGCGCAGCAGGCGCGAAAACUUGACAAUGCGAGAAAUCGUGAUCAGGGGACUCCAGUUGGCUGGAUUAAUAUCCAGUCUGAACCGACUUUAAAUCGGUCGGGUAAUAGGGGCGGGAAAGACCGGUGCCAGCCGCCGCGGUAAUACCGGCGCCCCAAGUGGUCGUCACUAUUAUUGGGCCUAAAACGUCCGUAGCCGGUUUGGUAAAUCCGUGGGUAAAUCAGACAGCCUAACUGUCUGAAUUCUGCGGGGACUGCCAGACUUGAGACCGGGAGAGGUACGGGGUACCUGCGGGGUAGCGGUAAAAUGCGAUCAUCCCGUAGGGACCACCUGUUGCGAAGGCGCCGCACUAGAACGGAUCUGACGGUCAGGGACGAAGCCUAGGGGCACGAACCGGAUUAGAUACCCGGGUAGUCCUAGGUGUAAACGCUGUGGACUUGGUGUCGGGGACCUUCUGAGGGUUUCCGGUGCCGGAGUGAAGAUGUUAAGUCCACUGCCUGGGGAGUACGGUCGCAAGGCUGAAACUUA
rnacentral:rRNA from 1 species